UACGUAGGUGGCAAGCGUUGUCCGGAACUAUUGGGCGUAAAGCGCGCGCAGGCGGUCCCUUAAGUCUGAUGUGAAAGCCCACGGCUCAACCGGGGAGGGUCAUUGGAAACUGGAAGGCUUGAGUGCAGAAGAGAAGAGCGGAAUUCCACGUGUAGCGGUGAGAUGCGUAGAGAUGUGGAGGAACACCAGUGGCGAAGGCGACUUUCUGGUCUGUAACUGACGCUGAGGCGCGAAAGCGUGGGGAGCAAACAGG
rnacentral:misc_RNA from 1 species